ACGCUCGACACCUACGUGGAGGCAGCAGGUGGGGAAUAUUGGGCAAUGGAGGCAACUCUGACCCAGCAACGCCGCGUGAGCGAUGAAGGUCUUCGGAUUGUAAAACUCUUUAAGUAGGGACGAAGAAAGUGACGGUACCUACAGAAUAAGCCUCGGCUAACUACGUGCCAGCAGCCGUGGUAAUCUGAGCGGCUGGCAAGGC
rnacentral:rRNA from 1 species